UCCCCGUGUCCCCUGAAUCCAAACUGAACUCAGCCGCCUGCUCAUUUCCUCAAGGGAGAGAUGUAACUGGGGAUAAAGUAGGAAUAACCUUUGGGGCUUUAUUUUCAGAAGUCAAAAGCACAUUACGUGGGGUGAUAUCCAAGAGUAUAGGUGUCAGGAAGUGAAGAAGACGCAGAAUGGCUUGAUUUGUGUGACCGUGGAGCCAGACGGCUCGUGAGAGAAACGGCUGAUUUCAGGCCCGGAGCAGGAAAUGGCCAAGCAUAUACACGUCUUACCUGAAGAAAUAAAAUGGAUUUACUUGGAAUCAAGGGCUUCACCUUGAGCUGAGUUGCCAAGCAGAAUGCAAGACUUCGGAGGGGCCUCAGCUGGGUGGUGCAUUCCAGCAAGAGAGAUCACAGAAUCGUCCAUCCUCAUGUCACAGCAGUGGGCCCUGGACUCACACACUGCCUGAUCCCCAGCUGAUAUCUACUUACUCCUCAAACCUCAAC